rnacentral:rRNA from 1 species
AUUGAACGCUGGCGGCAGGCCUAACACAUGCAAGUCUAGCGAGCGGCGGACGGGUGAGUAAUGUCUGGGAAACUUCCUGAUGGAUGGGUAUAACUACUGGAAACGGUAGCUAAUACCGCAUCCCAUCAGAUGUUCCCAGCUGGGAUUAGCUGGUAGGUGGGGUAACGGCUCACCUCGGCGACGAUCCCUAGCUGGUCUGAGAGGAUGACCAGCCACACUGGAACUGAGACACGGUCCAGACUCCUACGGGAGGCAGCAGUGGGGAAUAUUGCACAAUGGGCGCAAGCCUGAUGCAGCCAUGCCGCGUGUGUGAAGAAGGCCUUCGGGUUGUAAAGCACUUUCAGCGGGGAGGCGUUACCCGCAGAAGAAGCACCGGCUAACUCCGUGCCAGCAGCCGCGGUAAUUC